rnacentral:rRNA from 1 species
UACAGAGGUGGCAAGCGUUGUUCGGAAUUACUGGGCGUAAAGGGCGCGUAGGCGGCCUUGUAAGUCCUGUGUGAAAUCCCCCGGCUCAACUGGGGAACUGCACAGGAGACUGCUUGGCUUGAGUUCGGGAGAGGGAAGCGGAAUUCCGGGUGUAGCGGUGAAAUGCGUAGAUAUCCGGAGGAACACCGGUGGCGAAGGCGGCUUCCUGGACCGACACUGACGCUGAGGUGCGAAAGCGUGGGGAGCAAACAGG